UGGGGAAUAUUGGACAAUGCGGCAGCAUGCAUCCAGCAAUGCCGCGUGUGUGAAGAAGGCCUUCGGGUUGUAAAGCACUUUUAUCAGGAGCGAAACGCUGUCGGCUAAUACCCGGCGGAACUGACGGUACCUGAGGAAUAAGCACCGGCUAACUUCGUGCCAGCAGCCGCGGUAAUACGAAGGGUGCAAGCGUUAAUCGGAAUUACUGGGCGUAAAGCGUGCGUAGGCGGUUUCUUAAGUCUGCUGUGAAAUCCCCGGGCUCAACCUGGGAAUGGCAGUGGAUACUGGGAGGCUAGAGUGUGUCAGAGGGUGGUGGAAUUCCCGGUGUAGCGGUGAAAUGCGUAGAGAUCGGGAGGAACAUCAGUGGCGAAGGCGGCCACCUGGGACAACACUGACGCUGAGGCACGAAAGCGUGGGGAGCAAACAGGAUUAGAUACCCUGGUAGUCCACGCCCUAAAGCGAUGCGAACUGGACGUUGGUCUCAACUCGGAGAUCAGUGUCGAAGCUAACGCGUUAAGUUCGCCGCCUGGGG
rnacentral:rRNA from 1 species